AAUUACGAUUUUCAUUUAUUUCUACCGCUAAAAAUUGGCGUGGCUGACGUAAUAAUCAAAUAAUUACACUUAGCGUGUCACGUAUACCUCAUAUCGACAUACAAUGAUCAAUUUUUCAUAACAGAAAUGAAUGAAUUUCUUAACA
rnacentral:pre_miRNA from 1 species